GAAUUCUCCUUAAGGACUCAUAUGAUCUGAAAGUUAUACUUGGUGAACAAAAGCUGCAUAUUUUCUGCUCUGGAGUGGAGUAUCUAUCAGAGGUUACCCUACAGCUCGAGCUGAGUAGUUUUUUCGGUUUGGCAUUUCAUAAGCCAUUAUGUAGCAGAGUCAUAGAAUCUUACUCAUUUUGUUGUAGCUUUAUUUGUUAUCAUAGACUCCUUUUCU
rnacentral:misc_RNA from 1 species